CCGCUUUCCUCGUCUCAAAAUGUACAUAAAAUCUCAACCUGACUGACGAAUCAUCAUCAUCAUCUCCACCACCAGAUUUUUAACUCACUUCGUUCUCAUGUGCCAAAAUAUUUAAGUCUCUCGUCACGCCAAAUUAAUAAAUAUGCAACCAAUUAGUCAACAAGCUGACUGUCAUUAAUUUGUGAGUAAUCAGGCAACGAACUUAUCAAGCUUAUCAAUUCAAUCCAAAGUAUUUAUCUUCCUCCUUCUGAUCAAGUGUCUUAUCAUAAAGUUUUGUCAUCCUCUUCGUGCCAUAGGUCUCUUCAACCUCGCAAUAACUGAUGUUGUGAAAGUUAAUUAAAAUAUGGUCUAAUUUUUGAACAAGAAGAACAAGAAAGUUCUACUUAAACCCAGCGACUAGUUUGAAAUCAGCGACUACUUUAUCUACUAAUGACUUCACAACCACACUAAAUAAUACAGUCAUCAUGACCGAGGUUAAUGGGGCCAGGAUACUCUGCGGUGAUUGCAAUGCUCCAGACCCUGAAUGGGCCUCCGUUAACCGCGGCCUGCUUCUUUGCAACGACUGCUGCUUCGUCCAUCGCAGCCUCGGCCCGCAAUACUCCACCAUCAAAUCUCUCAAGGAUUCCGACUGGCAGGGGUCACAGUUAGCUAUGGUGACCACUCUCGCCGCCGGGUCAGCCAACCACGUCUGGGAACAUUUGCUACUCGACCGGUCAAAAACUGAGCGGGGAGACGUCCUAGUCAAAAAACCUUUGCCAUACGACACCCUCGAAACGAAGCGGAAAUUUAUCUACAUGAAACACUUUCUCUUUAAAUUCGUCCCCAAAACGACGUCCGAUCAGGUCGAGGUCAAAAGUCAAGAGCUCCACUCCACAGUGCGCACGGGUUCUGUGGACACGACCCUUCGCCUCCUCGCGGGUGGGGCGGACCCCAACUAUUUCCAUCCGGAGAAAGGAACCCGACCCAUCCAUGUCGCGGCCAGAAAUGGACAAGCCUUUCAAGUCGAGUUGCUCCACUUGUAUGGCGCCCACUCGGCAGGACCGGACUACUUGGGUCAGACUGGGGUCGAAUAUGCCCUGGCUGCCGGCCAUAAGGAUCUUGCUCAACGAAUUGUUCAACUUCGAUACUCCCUCACCGAUCAGUUGACCCAGUUCGUCUGCCACGAGGCGCCCGAUCACUCAUCGUCCAAACACAUUAUCGUCCCCAGCGUCAAAGCAAAGAACCCCAGACAUGAGAUUGACGUGGGAAAAUUGACCCCUUACCUCUUGGAACAAUUAAGUGCCGAUCUGCUCGACGAAGUUGGGCGACGCCAAAUCGAAAAUAUAAUCUACAAAAAGUUUGGGGCAGAAUCUCCCAAGUUUUCGAUCGCCUUUCUCCCCGUGAAUCCACACUAUCCUCCUGUACGAAACCAAGCUCGCCAAAAAUUCGCCCGCCUAACGGACUCUGAACUCUGUUCCAUGAUCUCCCUAGUCCUAUCCGACUCUGAGAAACGCCACUGGCACGGCUCGUCACAGGAUGAGGCGGAAAACAUCUUCAGCAAGAGUGCAGUCCUCAAUGGCAACAAUAAUAAUAAUAAUAAUAAUAACACCAACAACAAUAACAAUGUCAACAAGACGACCCCCAUUAAUUUUCCCGGUGUUACUGACGACGAUUUUCCCCUCUACGACAGCGUCGCGUCGGACGAAGACCUCAUUUUGGCAGAACAACAAGCCAUCCUCGCAGAAGAGAAAUUAAAAUUGAGCCCUGAUCCUGCCACGCUGGUCACACCGCCCACUCCCGCUCCCACCAAACCAGUCCUCCUCCCCACCACAGCCACAGCUAUCGACAUGGGUGAUGACGAGUCCAUCUUGAAGGAGAGAAUGCUCGUGUCCAAACUCUUCAAGGCAGAAACCAAGUUGGAAAAGGCACUCAAAAAGCAAACCAAUGAUGAAUUGUAUCAAGUCAUCCUUUCUAAAAUGGUACGGACCCUGAUUGAGGAAAAGACGAGAAUUUCAUCCAGCAAGAGAGACAGCUCGUCUAUGUCAUGCCAAUCCUCCUCCUCUUCGAGGUGUAGAUGCUCAUGCAAAGCAAAUCUGGCUCGAAAUCAGCAGCAGCUUCAUCAACCAGCACGACCCUCCUCCAUGGUCGAAUUUCCACCCCGGCCCCCCACUAUCCACGCCGAGGAUGACGACGUUGCCUCUUCAUCCCCAACAUCACCUCCUCACUUCACUCCGUUGUCACCUCCUACGUCGCGAUACAAGGAGGACGACAUGCCCCCAAUCCUCUACGCCAACGAGGUCACCGGCCACAUUGUCCGACUCAUCAAGAAAAUCAUAGGUUAUGCCGACACCCUCAAUUUGGACGGGCUAGAACUCACUGUCGGAGAAAUUCACGCUAUUGUGACAACAUUUGUCCAAAAGUUGCAGGAAAAUCCGGACAUCCAGGAUUCCAUGGUGCGCGUGUCCCUUGGAAAGUUGGAAUCGGACGUGCUUUUCAUCAAGACUGGUGUCCCCGUGUUAAUCUCCAUGUUCCGCGAUCCGACCCGAAAUCGUCGCGACGCCGUCCCUUCGACCGUUCCCUUCACAGCCGCCGAUAUCUUGUCCCACUGCUCCGAUUGGUGUUUGCGAGUCGGCGAAGGGAUGAAGGAGCUCGUCGGUGCGUUACACACUCUGGAAAAACAAGCUUGCCAAGACCUUUAGAAAUUGAAAAGUCAAUUUGAACGGAAUCAAUCAACAGUUAAAGAAAUAUCUUGAAAAUUAUGCAGCUUUUAAUUUUACGGAACUUUUAUAAUUUAAGACUUUUAAUCUUAUUGCAUGGUUAGUGUGACAGAUUUUAUAAAUUUUAUCCCUCAGACUUAACAACGGUGAAAUUUCCUCUGUCGUUUAAUUUUAUUACCGAGGCAAUUAAGAAGGCAUAUACGUUGAAAAAAUCUCAUAACUAAAAGACAGAGACGACGGUUGCGUCUCCUUGUGUGCCGAGAGAUUUAUUGCUAAUGAGGGGGGGGGGCGGGGCGAAGAGAGCAGCUGAUUUUCAUGUAAACAAUGCAGGCAGUUGCAUGGGAGCCCUGAUAACCCAAUCAUGUCAAGCUUGACUUUAUAAUGACAAGUACCAUAGAUAUCCUUUCUUUAUUUACAUUACAUAAUUAUUUACUUGUAAUUUUUUCUCGUGCGAAUUACUCCUUUUAUGUCAAGUAUGCAAAAAGGCAAUAAAAUUAUUGUAUCUUUAA